rnacentral:rRNA from 1 species
GACGAACGCUGGCGGCGUGCUUAACACAUGCAAGUCGAACGGAAAGGCCCUGCUUUUGUGGGGUGCUCGAGUGGCGAACGGGUGAGUAACACGUGAGUAACCUGCCCUUGACUUUGGGAUAACUUCAGGAAACUGGGGCUAAUACCGGAUAGGAGCUCCUGCUGCAUGGUGGGGGUUGGAAAGUUUCGGCGGUUGGGGAUGGACUCGCGGCUUAUCAGCUUGUUGGUGGGGUAGUGGCUUACCAAGGCUUUGACGGGUAGCCGGCCUGGGAGGGUGACCGGCCACAUUGGGACUGAGAUACGGCCCAGACUCCUACGGGAGGCAGCAGUGGAGAAUAUUGCACAAUGGGCGGAAGCCUGAUGCAGCAACGCCGCGUGCGGUAUGACGGCCAUCGGGUUGUAAACCGCUUUCGCCUGUGACGAAGCGUGAGUGACGGUAAUGGGUAAAGAAGCACCGGCUAACUACGUG